rnacentral:tRNA from 1 species
GGAAGGAUGGCAGAGCGGUUGAAUGCACCGGUCUUGAAAACCGGCGUAGGGGCAACCCUACCGUGAGUUCGAAUCUCACUCCUUCCGCCA